UACGUAGGGUGCGAGCGUUAAUCGGAAUUACUGGGCGUAAAGCGUGCGCAGGCGGUUUUGUAAGCCAGAUGUGAAAUCCCCGGGCUCAACCUGGGAAUGGCAUUUGGGACUGCAAGGCUGGAGUACGGCAGAGGAGACUGGAAUUCCUGGUGUAGCAGUGAAAUGCGUAGAUAUCAGGAGGAACACCGAUGGCGAAGGCAGGUCUCUGGGCUGAUACUGACGCUCAUGCACGAAAGCGUGGGGAGCAAACAGG
rnacentral:rRNA from 1 species